CAGUUUCCUCCAAUGGUAACAUCUUGCCAAACUAUAGGACAAUGUCAGAGCUAGGAUAUUGACAUUGAUACAGUGAAGAUACAGAACAGUUCUAACACCACAACGGUCUCUCAUGUUGGCCUUUUAUAGCCAUACCAGCUUCCCUUCUCCUUAACCCCCAUAACCACUGAUUUCUUCUCCAUUUCUAUAAUUUUAUCAUUUCACAAUAUAACCAUAUAGCAUGUAACCUGUGGGUUUGGCUUUGUUCACUCAGCAGAGUUCUGUGGAAAUUGGGCAGGUUGUUGCAGUCACUGGUUCAUCAGGUUUAAGACUAGGAUACAUGAGGCAAAGGGAAAUCCCAGAGACACACUUCUGUGUGUUUCGUUGGGUCCCCAGUCUGCCUUUUUCCACCUUUCAGAGUCUUCUGUUUUUUUCCCCAUAUAAUGUACAGGGUUCUGAGUUAUACUUAGUGGGAGAAAUAGGGUAAAGUAUGUCUAAUUCAUCUUCCCUGAAGCUGAAGUCAGUGAGAUUAGUUUCCUAAAGUUGCAAAUAGCCAAAAGCUUUGCUCUGGUGAAGUCUAAUGACUGCAGGUUGAAAAUUUUUGGUUUGGAUAAAUUGGUAUUUCUUAUUCAAAAUUGCUAAGACCAUAUCCCAGCUCUGGGGUUGUAAUUUGGAUUUUGAGAAAAGACAGAAUUUUAGGAAAAUGCUGAGUAGAAUUAAGAGGAACAAAUUUCUCAUAUGGUGAUUAUUCUUUCAUUCUGAUUAUAGAAUAACAAGCUGAAGCUAUGAAAGGUCAUCUUUUCCAUCAGAUCACGAAGACCAAGGCUUAAAUCAUCUUAGGCAGAGAUUUCAAUUUACAAGUUGUCUUGGGAGAAAGGAAAAUAUUCAGGCAUACCUCUGAGAUAUUGUGGGUUUGGUUCCAGACCACCGCAAGAAGGCGAACAUCAUAAUAAAGCAAGUGACGCAAAUUUUUUGGUUUCCCAGUGCAUAUUAAAGUUAUGUUUACACUAUACUGUAAUAUAUUAAGUAUGCAACAGCAUUAUGUAUAAAAAUGUACAUACCUUAAUUUAAAAAUACUUUAUUGCUUAAAAAAAUACUAACAAUUAUAUGAGCCUUCAGUGAGUUGUAAUCUUUUUGCUAGUGGAGGGUUUUGUCUUGAUGUUGAUGGCUGCUGACUGAACAAGCUGGUGGUUCUUGAAGGUUGGAGUGGCUGUGGCAAUUUCUUUGUGUGUGUGUGUGUGUGUUUGUGUGUGUGUGUGUGUGUGUGUGUCUUGCUCUGUCUCCCAGGCUGGAGUGCAGUGGUGUGAUCUUGGCUCACUGCUGCACCUCUGCCUCCUGACAUCAAGUGAUUCUCUUGCUUCAGCCUCCCAAGCAGCUGGGAUUACAGGCACCAGCCACCACACCCAGCUAUUUUUUUACAUUUUUGGUAGAGACACGGUUUCACCAUGUUGGCCAGGCUCGUCUCGAACUCCUGAUCUCAAGUGACCCGCCCACCUCAGCCUUCCAAAGUGCUGGGAUUACAGGUGUGAGCCACCGCACCCAGCCAGCAAUUUUUUAAAAUAAGAUAACAAUGAAGUUUGUCACAUUGAUUCAACUCUUCCUUUCACAAAAGAUUCCUCUGCAGCAUGCAACGCUGUUUGGUUGCGCUUUACCCACAGUAGAACUUUUUUCAGAAUUGGAAUCAGUCCUCUCAGUCCCUGCCACUGCUUUAUCAAUUAAGCUCAUGUAAUAUUCUAAAUCCUUUGUUGUCAUUUCAAAAACGUUAACAGCACCUUUACCAGGAGUAGUUUCCAUCUCGAGAAACCAUUUUCUUCACUCAUCCAUAUGAAGCAAUUCCUCAUCAGUUCAAGUUUUAUCAUGAGAUUUCAGCAAUUCAUUCACAUCUUCAGGUUCCACAUUUAGUUAUAGUUCUUUUGCUGUUUCUAUCACAUCUGCAGUUACUUCUUCCACUGAAGUCUUAAACCCCUCAAAGUCAUCCAUAAGGACUGGAAUCAACUUCUUCCAAACUCUCGUUCAUGUUGAUAAAAAUGUCAAUACCUCCUCUUCUGAACCAAAAUGUAUUUAAUGGCAUCGAAACUGGUGAAUUCUUUCCAGGUGGUUUUUUGAUUGGCUUUGCUCAGCUCUAUCAGCAGAAUCACUACCUAUGGCAACUAUAGCCUUACAGAGUAUAUGUUUAAAAUAAAAAGACUUGAAAGCCAAAAUUACCCCAUGGGAUGUAAAAUGGAUAUUGUGUUAUCAGGCAUGAAAACAACCUUUAUUUUCCUUGUGAAUCUUUAUCAGAGCUCUUGAGUGACUAGGUGUGUUGUCAGGGAGCAGUAAUUUUAUUCAUAUAUUUUUAAAUUUAUUUUAAGUUCUGGGAUACAUGUGUAUAAUGUGCAGAAUUAUUACAUAGGUAAACAUAUGCCAUGAUGGUUUGCUGCACCUAUCAACCCAUCACCUAGGUAUUAAGCCUGGCAUGCAUUUAGCUAUUUUUCCUGAUGCUCUCCCCCACUUCCCCCAAGCAGUAAUAUUUUUAAAGGAAUUUUUUUUCCCCUGAGCAGUAGAUCUGAACAGUGGGCUUAAAAUACUCAGUAAACCAUGGUAGAAACAGAUGUGGUGUCAUCUAGGCUUUGUUGGCGCCACUUACAGAGCACAGGCAAAAUAGAUUUAGCAUAAUUCUUAAGGGCCUUGGUAUUUUUGGAAUGGUCAAUGAGCAUUGGUUUCAACUUAAAGUUAGCAGCUGACUUUAGCUCCUAAAAACAGAGUCAACCUAUCCUUUGAAGAUUUGAAGCCAGGCAUUGACUUCUGUCUAGCUUUGUAAGUCCUAGAUGGCAUCUUCUUCCAAUAUAAAGCUGUUUUGUCUACGUUGUUUGUUUGUUGAUUGAUUAAUUGUGGCCCAGGCUGGUGUUGAGCUCCCGGCCUCAAGUGAUCCUCUCGCCUAGGCCUCCCAAAGUGCUGGGAUUACAGGAGUGAGCCACUGGCCCAGCUGAAAACCUGCUGUUUCAUGUAACCACCUUCAUCAAUUAUCUUAGAUCUUUCCAAUUGACUUGCUGCACCUUCUACUUCAGCAUAUUCUGUUUCACUUUGCACUUUUAUGUUAUGGAGACAAUGUCUUUCCUUAAACCUCAUGACCCAGCCUCUGCUAGUUACAGAUUUUUCUUCUGCAGCUUCUUCACCUCAUUUAGCCUUCAUAGAACUGAAGAGAGUUAGGGCCUUGCUCUGGAUUAGGCUGUGGCCUAAGGAAGUGUUUGAUCUAUUUUGACCACUAAAACUUUCUUUACAUCAGCAGUAAGGCUGUUUCACUUUCUUAUCAUUUGUGCGUGAAGAAUCACCUUUAAUUUCCUUCAAGAACUUCUCUUUUGCAUUUACAACUUGGCUAAUUGGUACAAGAGAGCUCACUUUUGGCCUAUCUCAUUUUUGGCAUGCCUUUCUCUCAAAGCUUAAUCGUUUCUAGCUUUUGCUUUAAAGUGUGAGAUCUGUAACUCUUUCAGUUGAACACUUAGAGGCUAUCAAAAGGUUAUUAAUUGGCCUAAUUUCAAUAUUGUGUCUUAGGGAAUGGGAGGCCUGAAGAGAGGGAGAGAGACAGGGAAAUGGCCUGUUGAUGGAGCGGUUAGAACAAGUACAACAUUUAUUAAUUAAGUUUGCUGUCUUAUAUGGGCAUGGUUUGUGGUGUCCAAAACUAUUACAAUAGUAAUGUCAAAGAUCACUGAUCAGAUCAUCAUAACAGAUAUGAUGAUAAUGAAAAAGUUUGAAAUAUUGUAAGAAUUACCAGAAUGUGACGCAGAGACAUGAAGUGAGCACAUACUAUUGGAAAAAUGUGCUAAUAGACUUGCUCGCUGCAGGGUUUCCACAAAUCACUUUGUAAAAAAUGUACUAUCUGCAGAGCGCAAUAAAGCAAAAUGCAGUAAAAUG
rnacentral:lncRNA from 10 species